GAUGAACGCUGGCGGCGUGCCUAAUACAUGCAAGUCGAGCGAACAGACGAGGCGCUUGUUCCUCUGUCGUUAGCGGCGGACGGGAGAGACACACGUGGAUAACCUCCCUAUAAGACUGAGAAAACCUCGGGACACCGGAGAUAAUACCGGAUAAUAUAUUGAACCGCAUGGUUCAAUAGAGAAAGACGGUUUUGCUGUCUCGUCUAGCUGGAUCCGCGCGGCAUUAGCUAGUUGGUACGUUAACGGCUUACCAAGGCAACGAUGCGUAGCCGACCUGAGAGGGUGAUAGGCCACAUGGGAGCUGGAACACGGUCCAGACGCCUAAGGGAGGCAGCAGUAGGGAACCGUCCGCAGUGGGCGAAAGCCUGACGGAGCAACGCCGCGUGAGUGAUGAAGGUCUUCGGAGCGUAAAACUCUGUUAUGAGGGAAGAACAAAUGUGUAAGUAACUAUGCAGGUCUUGACGGUACCUAAUCAGAAAGCCACGGCUAACUACGUG
rnacentral:rRNA from 1 species